rnacentral:lncRNA from 1 species
GUCUGCCAAACAUCUCGGCUAAAAAGUUCCUUGAUCCGCUUUUAUUGAAGCCCAAAUUCCUUCGUCCACUUCGUAGUAAAGCAAUCAAGACAGAUGGGAACAUCAAUAUAGAUGAAAAAACAUCCAAUUCAUAAUCAGGAUUGCUUCCAAAUGAAGAUUCCAUUUUCACGCAUCAACGCAUUUGAAACCCCCACAAAUGCACAACCAUACAACAAACAAGAUAGUACAAAUGAUCAAGUCCAUUGACAACACCACCCAAACAUGCUUUUUCCAGACUACCUUAGCCUUCUGUUGUCCCAAUUCCCCAGAAUGCAGUCCAUUCUUGUGCAUCACCACUGUAAACUCCCUGCUCAAUCCAGCUGCUGCCCCCUCAUCCGGAGAGGCAUCUUUGGCAUUUGCAGCAGAGCCACCCAUACAAUCACCUAACCAAAACUUCUUCUUUUUCUUCAUCAAGCUCUUGGCAGUGCCCAACAACGGCCUCCCAACGGGCCCUCCUCUGGAGGAAUCCAUGCUUCCGUUCCAGCCAAGACUAAGUUUCAACCCUGAAUUAGGAGAAUGGAUCCCCCCCAUAUCUGCAUCUGCGGUCAACAGAUGAUGAAAAACAGGGCUAAAUUCGCCCUGAAAACAGUGAGAAGACAACUUCUGCAAUCUUUUCUUAGCAGAACUGCUUCCAGCAACCUCAUUGAAGGCGUCCUUGACACUCUUCAGAAAAGCCAACCCUUCGGAGUUCUCAAGAUUUUCAUCAAAUAUGGCAAAAUAAGCAAAAGGAUCUUCAAUAAAGAAUGUGUAGGUCCUGUUGCGGACCGUAUGGGUGAAAACAGAAUGCAAAGGUGGCGUUUUUUCAAGGCAUUUGAUCGCUAAGGAACCAAGAUCAGCAUCCUUUGAAUUGAACUCAGCAAGGAUUGUGGUGCCUUUUGCAACGCAAGCGUAAUAUACCAGAUUUGGAUCCGAAAUCAUCAUAGUCUCCGAAUAACAUCAAAGCGACUCGAACCCAGAUCGGUAUUCAUCCGAAAAAAAAAGAAAAUAAUAGAGAAAAAGUCAAGGUUAAGAAAACGAAAAUAAAAAGGCUUUUUCUAUAAUACACGUAAAGG